rnacentral:rRNA from 1 species
AGUUCACAGACUAUGUGAAGACAGGCUCCCUAUUGUAUGUAGGGAGUUGUAGAUAUAGUCGGUCUCCCCUAUAAGUAGGAUGAGAGAAACGUUGUACACACCGCCCGUCGCUACUACCGAUUGAAUGGCUCAGUGAGGCCUUGGGACUGGCUCAGAGAGGUUGGCAACGACCACUCAGAGCCGGAAACUCGAUCAAACUUGGUCAUUUAGAGGAAGUAAAAGUCGUAACAAGG